rnacentral:rRNA from 1 species
AACGAACGCUGGCGGCAUGCCUAACACAUGCAAGUCGAACGAGACCUUCGGGUCUAGUUGCGCACGGGUGCGUAACGCGUGGGAACCUGCCCUUAGGUUCGGAAUAACUCCCCGAAAGGGGUGCUAAUACCGGAUAAUGUCUUCGGACCAAAGAUUUAUCGCCUUUGGAUGGGCCCGCGUUGGAUUAGCUAGUUGGUAGGGUAAAAGCCUACCAAGGCGACGAUCCAUAGCUGGUCGGAGAGGAUGAUCAGCCACACUGGGACUGAGACACGGCCCAGACUCGUACGGGAGGCAGCAGUGGGGAAUAUUGGACAAUGGGCGAAAGCCUGAUACAGCCAUGCCGCGUGAGUGAUGAAGGCCUUAGGGUUGUAAAGCUCUUUUACCCGGGAUGAUAAUGACAGUACCGGGAGAAUAAGCACCGGCUAACUACGUG